GGGUGAGUAACGCGUGGGAAUAUGCCCUUCACUACGGAAUAGCCUCGGGAAACUGAGAGUAAUACCUUAUACGCCCUUCGGGGGAAAGAUUUAUCGGAGAAGGAUCGGCCCGCGUAAGAUUAGGUAGUUGGUGGGGUAAUGGCCUACCAAGCCUUCGAUCUAUAGCUGGUCUGAGAGGAUGAUCAGCCACACUGGGACUGAGACACGG
rnacentral:rRNA from 1 species